UUACUACAUUUUUACUCAAAAUUUGCUUGCUUGAAACACACAUACACAAAAGAACAACACUCAAAUACACACACGCUCCAUUUUAGGACUUUUCUAUGACUUCCUAUCCUUGUUUGAUUUUUUCCCAUUCUACUCGUUACCUAGUCCUUUCUCUUGCUAAUUGAUUUAUUUGAAGAUUUUAAAGGUCAAAGUUUAUUAUUGCCUUUAAAAAUGUGCACUAAAAAAUAGAACAAAGACUAUACUGAGGAAUUAGCUAGAUGCUAUGCAAAACCCAGAAGUCUUUCCAGUUUCUACUUACAGGAUUUAAAAUUGUGCUUUUGAAAAGAGAUGAAACUAAGGGGAGAAAAGAAGAAAAGAGCAUCAUCAGAGCAAAGAAAAAGAAGUCUGAAGUGUCCAAAGAUGUUAUGUUAGCUUUUCUUUUCAACAGAUUAAAAUAAUCCAAAAGACUCUGAAACACAGCAACUUUCUACGUAGGGUGUGUUGGAAAUGAUGUGUCAGCUUAAAGAUGUUUUUCUUAAAAAGUAGCUCUUUUCAUCCUUAUAAUGUCAGACUGAGGAUAUUGUAGAAGAGGGGGAUGUGUAGCUUGAGGAAACUUGGUGCCUGAGUUACAGGUUAAAGUAAAAGUGUUAUGAAAUAGUGGCUUGCACACAGCCUGAUGUGGGGUCGGCUGUGAUGGCAAAGAUCCCCGCAACACACGUUCCGUGUUCUAGUCGAGCUGUGCACUUUUCUGCUGUGUGCCAUUACUUUAAGGGGAGAAAGAGUGAGGGUUUCUCCUAGAAAAAUGUUGGUUCCCAGGCCUACGUGUGUCUGCCACUCUCAGACUGUGUGAGGGGCCGCCUUCCCCUCUCCAGUGCUGGAUGCCAGGCCAGGUUUCUGAGAUGCAGGGCUGUCUCAGAGCACGGGGAUGAUGACGGCAUGACAGCGGUGCCUUUGCUGCAUGUUUUGUCUGAGCCAAGCACAGGCCUGUGCCGUUUAUUCAUCUUCAUCAUCCCUCUACCUCACCAGUCAGCUAAACCGCAUCUUUAGCCGCGCUGCUGGCCUGUGGAGGAGGAAGCUUCUUUCCUGUUGGGCUCCCUGUGAGCGGGCCUUCCAUGCUUUGGCGGAGGCGUGCAUCAUGGUCAAGCUGACAGCGCUUGAUCACGUAUCAAACAUGGGACCCUCAGCGGAUCACUCAACUUCUCUGAGUCUCAGGAGCUUCCUCUGCAAAACAAGACACAUAAGCUAUGCAGAGCCCUCCCUGUGGUGCCCGGCACUUGAAAACCUGUUUACCAGUAAUGCAGUUCAUAAAAUUAUUCCUGAGCACCUCCCAUAUGUGGAGAGGGGGCUUCCCGCUGAAAACCUGCCGCCUUGUGCUCCGCCUGCUCUGGCUCGGUUGACUGCGAGGACUCUUCGCGUCUCCAUGAGGGAGUUUGGACAGGACUUGUCAUCAUGGUUGGAAGAACUUUCUCUGAAUUCUCUUCGUGAGGAAGUUGAUGUCUUGGACACAGUAUUAUUUUCCUUUGAGGGACUGUUUCCUGUUAAAAGGAAUUUAGUUUUUCAUAAAGAACCUCCAAAUUUGCUAAAAACUGGUUUAAUAAUCUGUUUUAUUUCCUGUGUCAAGUAUCAAUGCGUGAAAAAUUUUUGAAUAUCAUGGUUAAUCCGUGGACUGCUGAACACAACAGACUGAGCAUCAUGUCAGAGGUGCACCUUGUGAUUUGUGAAAAAUGUUGAACCUACAGAAAAAUUGAAAAAGUAAUAUAAUCCUGGUAAUGUUUACUAGACUCGGUGAAUGUCUUCACAUUUUGCACUUUUGUGCACGAACACAUGCAAACAUCCCUGCCCCUCCAUCAGGAGUCGUUUGAGUCUGUCGCUCACAGUAAGAUUCAGGCUAAACAUCUUUGGAAAGACUGUAAAACAGCAGAGGCCGCAGUGCUUUUGGAUGAGAUCGGGAGGUGACAGGCAUCCCCUCUGACAUAAGUGAAGAACGUGGUGGUCCUCCCUCAGCUCAGGAGAGAAGCUGACACGGAGCCGGGGAAAGUGGGCUGAGCUCACGCACAGGCUGAACUUACUCAAAGAGGACUGAAAAAUCAUGGGCUUUUCCGCCUUCUUGAUGACAGAAGCAGAUUAAAUUUGUGGCCAAUUGUAUUGAUUGGGCAGAAACAGCUUUCAAAGGACACGAGGAGGAGGCUGCAGAGCACAGUAUUCUUGGUGUGGUCACGAGGUUUCUCCUGCAGCCAUGGUCUGGGGGUGACCCACCCACAGCUCAGCCCUGCUCAGCUCUCUCUGGUUACUCGAUAGGCCCUUGUUCGUCCACCUAAGAGAGUCACAAGACCUUAGAC
rnacentral:lncRNA from 1 species